rnacentral:rRNA from 1 species
AAAGGGCCGCGGUAAUUUGACCGUGCGAAGGUAGCAUAAUAAUUAGUUUUUUAAUUGGAGACUUGUAUGAAUGGUUGGAUGAGAGAUAAUCUGUCUCUUUCUUAUGGGUAGAAUUUAACUUUUAAGUGAAAAGGCUUAGAUUAUAUGAAGUGACGAUAAGACCCUGUAAAACUUUAUAUGGUUUUUUUUGAAUUAAGAAUUAUAGCAUAAAUUAAUUUAGAUUGAAUUAUAUUUUGUUGGGGAAACAAUGAUAUAAAUUUAAUUGUCUGUGGAAUUUAAUAAUUAUAAUUAGAUUGUGAUCCUUUAUUAUGGAUUAAAAGGUUAAGUUACUUCAGGGAUAACAGCGUAAUUUUCUCUGAGAGUUCUUAUCGACGAGAGUAGUUGCGACCUCGAUGUUGAAUUAAAAUUUCAGUAAGGUGUAGCCGCUUUUCUGGUAGGUCUGUUCGACCUUUAAAAUUUUACAUGAUUUGAGUUCAG